rnacentral:rRNA from 1 species
UACGAAGGGGGCUAGCGUUGCUCGGAAUCACUGGGCGUAAAGGGCUUGUAGGUGGCCAACUAAGUCAGACGUGAAAUCCCUCGGCUUAACCGGGGAACUGCGUCUGAUACUGGAUGGCUUGAGUGUGGGAGAGGGAUGCGGAAUUCCAGGUGUAGCGGUGAAAUGCGUAGAUAUCUGGAGGAACACCGGUGGCGAAGGCGGCAUCCUGGACCAUAACUGACACUGAUAAGCGAAAGCCAGGGGAGCAAACGGG